AUUGAACGCUGGCGGCAGGCCUAACACAUGCAAGUCGAACGAGUGGCGGACGGGUGAGUAAUGUCUGGGAAACUGCCUGAUGGAGGGGGAUAACUACUGGAAACGGUAGCUAAUACCGCAUACCAUCAGAUGUGCCCAGAUGGGAUUAGCUAGUUGGUGGGGUAACGGCUCACCAAGGCGACGAUCCCUAGCUGGUCUGAGAGGAUGACCAGCGACACUGGAACUGAGACACGGUCCAGACUCCUACGGGAGGCAGCAGUGGGGAAUAGUGCACAAUGGGCGAAAGCCUGAUGCAGCCAUGCCGCGUGUAUGAAGAAGGCCUUCGGGUUGUAAAGUACUUUCAGCGGGGAGGCGUUACCCGCAGAAGAAGCACCGGCUAACUCCGUGCCAGCAGCCGCGGUAAUUC
rnacentral:rRNA from 1 species